GGGGCGUGGCGCCAGUGGGCGUGGCGUAGUGCGAAGAGACGCGGUGCGCACGCGCGUGAGGGAUGUCGCGGAUGCAAAUAGUACGGUAUUCCGAACAGACACUAAAAAUAGCUGUCAUCUCAAAGAAUCCAGUGCUUGUGUCACAGUAUGAGAAAGUAGAUGCUGGGGAACAGCGUUUAAUGAAUGAAGCAUUCCAGCCAGCCAGUGAUCUCUUUGGACCUUGCAUUCUCCAUCAGAUUGGAUCACCUCCCACCCUGAGGCCCCCCAAGACUUUGAACAGUUCUUCAGUCAUCCUUACAGAAAGAUACCCUCUCCAGACAAACGCAGUAUUUAUAUACGGUCCAUUGGAUCUCUAUGAAGCACCAGAAUUAUCAGUGAAGAAUAUAUUAAAUGGCUCACGGGCUACUGUAAAGCAUAUUUCUAUCGCUUGAGAGUAAAACUGCUAGAACCAGUUCCUGUUUCUACAACAAGGUGUUCCUUUAGAGUCAAUGAGAACACACAAAACCUACAAAUUCAUGCAGGGGACAUCCUGAAGUUCUUGAAAAAGAAGAAACCUGAAGAUGCCUUCUGUGUUGUGGGAAUAACAAUGAUUGAUCUUUACCCAAGAGACUUGUGGAAUUUUGUCUUUGGACAGGCCUCUUUGACAGAUGGCACUGGUGAGGUGGAUUGAUGAUGAAUCUUCUGGCACACCUGGAGCAACUCCAGAACACAGUCGUGAGGAUAAUGGGAAUUUACUGAAACCCGUGGAAGGAAGCCUUUAAGGAAUGGAAAGAGUGGAUAAUAAAAUGCCUGACUGUUCUCCAAAAAUAAGGACCUUCAAAUAGGAGUGAUUGAAAUAAAUGACUACUUGCAUGUUAUGCUUUCAUUUGGGUGGAAUACUUCAUCAGAAUAAACUAUUGAUCUUGUGCUGUGUCAAAGUAACAGACUAGAACCUUCUUUCAAGUACCUGAAUUGAAAUGAAACUCAUUUUGAAUAAUAAAAACUCUAGAAACUCUUUAUCUUCUCA
ensembl:lncRNA AMZ2P1 AMZ2 pseudogene 1